GAAGCACCGGCUAACUCCGUGCCAGCAGCCGCGGUAAUACGGAGGGUGCAAGCGUUAAUCGGAAUUACUGGGCGUAAAGCGCACGCAGGCGGUCUGUCAAGUCGGAUGUGAAAUCCCCGGGCUCAACCUGGGAACUGCAUUCGAAACUGGCAGGCUAGAGUCUUGUAGAGGGGGGUAGAAUUCCAGGUGUAGCGGUGAAAUGCGUAGAGAUCUGGAGGAAUACCGGUGGCGAAGGCGGCCCCCUGGACAAAGACUGACGCUCAGGUGCGAAAGCGUGGGGAGCAAACAGGAUUAGAUACC
rnacentral:rRNA from 1 species